UGCAUUUCAUUCCAUAGUUAUAGGGAUUUCAGGUGGCUCUCCACUUCCCUGUAACUGCUAAGGAACUGACUCCUGUGCCUUACUUUUAAGAAGAAAAUGUACAACUGCAAAGCACUGUGGUUGUCAAUGAGGCUGAACACAGAGACCCGGUGCAACAACUCUGCCUGCCUGAUUUCUAUGGAGCAACUCAAGAGUUUUCAAAACUCUAGAAUUCUGACCACCUAAGUUCCAUAAGAAAAUGAUGAGCUCUGAGCCAGCAUAAUUGGGUCCCAGGAGAUCACAACAGUCGUUUUGACACCUAUUCAGGAAAGUAUUUAUUGAUUUAUAAAACACAUAGUUAUAAAAGAACCCUGCAAAAGGCACAAGUGACCUAAGGAAACAGUUUAAAAUGUUGUCUAAUCUUGGUUGAUUGGCAGAGACCCAGUACAUUCUGAGUGUGGUAAAGCUAGGUGUACUGAGAUUUGGCUUUCUUGGAUUCCUCCAAACCAGUCUGCUGGUCCCCCAGCAUGCUUCCAGACCAUAGGGUGGAAAUCAUUCUAUAGAUAGGUAACACAAGAAAAAUAACAACCUUUGGAUCAUAGGCAGCCUCCAAUUAAUAUACUCAAAUAGGCUUUCAGUGCAAGGUUCACUGCCUAAACUUUAGCUCAUUUAUUUUAGUUCUUAAAGCCUUACAGGAAUGCCUAAGCUCUCUAAAGAGCUAAAGGUGUAAACAGUGACUUUCACUCAUGGCCUUAGCAUUUUCAGUGAUAGCAUGUAAUUGUUUAUGGCACUCUUUUAAUGACAAAAUAACAACAAAUACUCUGCCAAAGUCAUGGGAGAAAGAUAAAACGUUCACUGUGCAUGUGAGUCUUGUCAUUCUCUGAUUUUAGUUUUCCUCAUUCAGGUAGUUUAUUUCAGCUAAUAUCAGUCCUUAAUGCCCACGCAAUGCAAAAUCUCCCAUUACAUGUGCAUUCAGACAUCACAGUUGUAUUUGGGAAAUGAAUCAUUUAUAUUAGUUUAGACAACAACAUAUUCAGUGGGAGAGAAUGACUGAUCCAUACAAAUACUAUCUGGAACAAGAGUGCAUGAUGAAGCGUCUCUUAUUGAUUAGAAGAUUUGUUCUUGUUUAUGGUAUUUUACAACAUCCUUAAUCAAGUCUCUUCUAAAAGAUUCCAGCAAGAUUUAAGGAAAUUCUUGAUUUUGAUGAAUAGGCUGUCAAGCAAGGUUAGACAUACAAUGUUUUUAACCAUUAGCUGGAGCUUACAUUCUCAUUUCAGAGACAGAUGCAAGUCCAAAUGUGUAAUUAUGAACAAACAAACAAACAAAAAACCCACAUGUACUCCCUAGAAAAAUGAUAUAUUUGCUAUGAAAGUAUUGGCAUUCUACUCUGAAAAAAUGCUGUUACCAUCACAUGAAGUGAUUUCUUUCUGAGAUACUGUAUACACUUUGCAGCCAGUUCACCACAGAUCUCUGUCUUUGUGAGCUAUAACACAGAUAUAUCUGUCUCCGCAACAAAUACAAGCACUGGAAAUCAUCUUCAAUGCACUUCCAACUUGAUGUCUUGCUUUGGCAGCCAUUUCAAAUUUUUCUCUUUAACAUUGAAAUGAACGGAAGCAUUGUAAAAGCCUAAGAGGAAAGUCUGAUACACAAGACCUCUCCUUCAUGAAAACAACGAAAUAAGUGAAAUUGUAAUGGGAUUCAAUGGGGAUGAGAAGUAACUGGAAACUAGUUGCUAAUGAUUAUUAGCAUUUGUUUAAAUGAACAGUAACCUGUACAGAGAUUCCAGAUGUCUGGCCUUGAAUCUCAAACCUCAAAUCAAAUACUUUAAGCUUGCAAUUGUUUCUCUUAGCUUAUAGCUUUCAUGAAGGGGAUAAAUGCACAUGAUGCUGGCAUAUACAUUUCAAAACUUUCCAAUAUGCAUCUUUAGGAUUAAAUACAAAUUUUUUUACAAAUGCUUCACUGCAACAAAGAUUACCUCCAAGUAAAUAUCCACUUUUAUAUGGUCACUUUUUCUUUUUACUUUUACAGAUAGUAUUUGGACUUUCUGGAAGAGUACAAGACUCUAGUGCAGACAAACAAACAUUCAGGCAAUAAAAUACCAUCACUUCUUUUGUUCAUAAGAAGCCUUUUAUGUGGAAAAUAAAAAAUUAGCAUUAUCUUCUAAUACCUAUAGGAGGAUUUCAGCUGGCCCAAGUGAACAGAAUAAGCACUGCAUCACUGGUAUGUUAAAUUUUUAAAGUAUCAACCUUCUUUUGAUUUAGAACUGAUAUCCAGUUCAUCUUUUAUCUAACUUUUUCUGCAGGUGUAUGCUAAGCACGGAGCACAUAGACUUGAAAAAGCACUGAAAUGAAGCAGUGCUCAAAAUAAUGUGAAUGCUUCUUAUAAAGUUGGAGACUUGAUUUAUUAGAAAUGGUUCAAACAUUUUUCCUAAUUAUUGUGAGCAAAGUGCCUAACAAAACUAGAAAAAUGUCUCCAGUUUGGACUCCACUGAGACUAAUACUCAUCCUUCACACUUCAAAGGGCAAAGUUGGGUAGGAGAGAAGACAGAGCAUUGGUUUUAGUCUUAGUCAGAACACUAAAAAGGGCCAUUUAAUGUUAGUAUGUGAGCCAUAGCUAUGUUUUUCAAAUAAAAUUGAAAAUAAAUCUUGAAGUUGAGUUGAAAAAUCUUGCUAUUACCUCAUAACCAUAUUUCUCUUCACAUCUUAAGAGUCAGAGAGAUUCAGAAAUAUAUGCAACACUUUCCCUAGUACUUCAAGGAAGUUGUGCUUCCAUUUUUGAUAGAUAAAACAAGGCAUAGAGUCAAGAUUCAUCUCUGGAAAUGAAUAUAAAUCAGGGUUAGGAAUUUGAUGGUGGGCAUCAUAUUGCCCACCUUUAGAUUUCGAAAAGAGAGAUGCCUGAAGGUGACACACUGAUUUGUAGAUUUAGUUCAUAGAUAACAAUCUUGGCCUAUGUCUGACAAAUUUCAGAUCUCUCUUUUUAGCUUUUUUUUUUUUUUUUCCUGCUGUGUUAGACAACUUACCCAUUCAAUGUAAUAUCUGUGCCAAUGGCCAUUCUGGGCUGCUUUAUUCUGUAUUUAUAUGUCAGGUUAUACACUGUAUUCUAGAAGCAAAUGCAACAUCAAAGUCUCUUUGGAGAUAUGUCUCAGAAUGAUUUGCCAACAGGCAUGAACCAAGCUAUUGUUAGCACCUAAAUUAGGAUUCUAGGAGAUCUGGCUUCCAGUUCAAACCACAAAAAUGUGAGAGAUCUCUAGUGAGAGAUAUCUAAUGCUCAGAAAGCUAUAGAACCCUACACCUAAUUUAUAUAUACAGUCACUGUUAAGCCAUAUAUAAAAAUCAGCUGUCCAAAACUCCCCUUAUUGCUGCAGAAGUUUUGACUACAAACUUGUUUAUUGCAAACUUGUUGACAAACAGACUUGCUUCUAGCAGGCAUAAAAGUAUGCUCUAGUGAAGCUUGGUAGGGGCUCGGAGACUUUGAAACUUUGGGGUCAGCGCUCUCACAGACCAAGUAUCCCCACUGACUGGACCAAUGCUGGAAACCAAACCAGUGAUCUCAUUCUUGGUCUGUCUCUCAAUCUCUCAUUCUUUCUUUUUCCCUCAUAAAGUUUUUAAGAGUCACAUAGUUUAGCUGCACAGCUUAGGUAGAUAUAACUGUAAGAGUGCCAAUACUUUUAAGAUAAUUGUAGUACAGAAAUUUCUCAUUAAAAUUGAUGAUUAUAUUUGGACUUUGAGCAUCAGUUUCACCUUAAUCUAACCAGGGGAGAUUUACAAAUUUGGUCACUUCUCCCUCCCUUCAUGAGCAGAAUGUGACAGCUUUUGAAAUUAGAGAGCACUUACUCUAAAGCAUGUCUUCUGACUUAGCCUUCUGUGACAUGAACAGUAUGGUAAGCAUUUUAAUUUGGGACUUUGAUAGAAGGAAUGACACGAAAGUGUAAAACUGUUUUUGCCAUCCUGCCAGUGGUGUGUGAAGAAAAUACUUUGUCUGAAAGCAAACAAGGAAGGAUUUGGAAGUGCAAGUAACAAGGCUGGAGAUGUGUUACAGGUCAAGCUAGUAGGUCAUUGACAGAACUUGACAUUUCUCUUCUAUUCCUUAUCUCGAUGAAAAAACCCAAAGUUUAAUAGAUCAUUACACAAAGAAAGCACUAUUGCCAAUACUAGUAUUGAUACUAAAAAUCUUGUUUUGACAUCUAGAGUGGUCUUGCUAUCAACACGAUUAAUCACCAACAGCUAGUCAACUUGGCAACAUUAGCAGUAAUUUAACAAAGUUUACCAACUUAUCUUUUAACUUGCCUGCAUGGCCAGUGCAACUCAUUAACAAAAAUAUUAAAAAUGUUUUGAUGAUAUGUUUUCAUGUCGUAUUUUUCUUUUUCCUUGACUAGUUAAAAGCAAAUAUAACCGUCAAUAGAUAUGCAUUUGUGAGAAAGCUGCAGGAAGUCAGGCAGAAAAUGACUAACAAGGAAGACUUAUGACACCAGUAACAUUAAAAUGUAUAAUAAAUUUCAGAACUAUUUGAUCAAGUUUUGCAUUCAUACAUGUAUGUGUACAUACUUCUACCAGCCACACUUAUGGCUGUAACUUAUCAUUAUGUUUAAGUGUUAAAAUACUGUGGAAAAUUCCUUUGGGCAGUAAAAUUUUGAACUUUUUGCUGUACUGAUGUUGCUGCAGAAGUCAUUUUAAGUUUUGGGAACUAUGUACACCAAACAUAGGUGUACACACAGUGUAGGUCUGAAGACAAUCUUGAAAGUGAUUAGGGUACUCCUGAUUCUGAAAAAACUAAGAUAACUUCAUUGAAGAACAUCUGGCAAUCUAAUACAUUUUUGUUAGUGAACAAGCAGUAGAUAGGUUUCAAUUUUUACAGAUGUGUAAUUAUCCAAAAUUCUUUGGUGAAAGCCUAUAGCUUGCUUGUGAAUUAGUACGUUGGACUCUUUUAAAGUGAUGAGCCUUUUAUUAUUCAUUCUGUGAUGUAACUGAAGAUGGCAACAUUUUAUAAUCACAGAACCAUAGAAUGGCUUGGGUUGGAAGGGACAUUAAAGACCUUCUAGUUCCAACCCCCUGCCUUGGGCAGGGUUGUCAGCCACUAGAUCUGGCUGCACAAGAACCCAUGAAGCUUGGCCAUGAAUGCCUCCAGGGAUGGGGCAAACACAGCUUCUCUGGGCAGCCUAUAUCAAUGCCUUACCACCCUCUGAGUGAAGAAUUUCUUCUUAACAUCUAAACUUAAAAAUAAAUUUCCAAUUCUGAUUUGCUAGUCUUUACCACUCCCCAAACAAUGAAAAUGUAUUUCUGCUGACAUAGCAUGAAUUUGUAUCUAUUUAGCUAAGCAAUAUCGCUUUGGGUUCAAGUAGUAGGUCCUUGCUUUGGCAUUUUAAAACUCUGUUCUGUCCUACAUUAGAAUAACUCAAGUUCGGUGUCAAUAAAUUCAAAGGUCAUCAAAACUAGAUAUACUUAAACAUUUCAGUGAACAAAUGUCUUCUCUCCACACACUCCUACCCUCUUCACCUUUCCUACAAUUAUGAUUUUAAGCAGAAAUUUGUUAGCAUGUUAAUUCUUAGAAAGUUAAUGAAAGGCUUACAUACACAGAGGGAUUUUACUGUUUUUAUUCAUAGAGCACCCUCUGCCUCAGUUCAGUUAUGAUUUAUCUUGUUCAGUAUUAAGACAUAUUAGCUGCGUAAUACUACGAACACCACUCCUGUUUUAGGAAACAACUGAUAACUUCAUACAGUAGAAUUCUCAGUCCUCCCUAACUAAAUUUAUCUGUGAGCACAUGCAAGUACAAGCCCAUAGCACACCUACAGAUUCACGCACGUUAAAUAUCUGGAUAAUUCAAAACGUAAUCUACAUUUCCAGUAUUUGUUCAGAAUAUUAUUUUAUUAGCACAACAAAGGCAUCAAUAGCCAGUUCAGCUUUAAGCCAGAUAAUAAAUGUACAAAAUAUCUACAUUAUUUUCAUACUUUCACAUAAAGAUUUUUUUUACUUCAUGGUACAUUUGCUGUAGCACAUGGAUUAAGAUGGGAACUAAAUAAUUUCAUUGACCAUAUCACGUUUUGCAAACCCUGAGCUGAUGGUGUUUAGAACUCUCAUUUAAAAAAAAAUAAAUUAAACAUCCUGCUUAAGCACAGAUUUGUAUCAUUCUAAAUGUUGUGUUUGGAAACUAGCAGAAAAAAUACUUGAGAUUUAAGUUUCUGUUGAAGGAAAAGGUCUUCCAAGUACAUAGCAAGUUUCUGGCUAGUUUCUGGGUUGGGCUUAUCAUAAACUUCCCCCUGUGGCAAAGUCAUCCAGUUCUGGACAUUUUUUUCUUUAUUUUCCCCAGAUUUUUUUCUUUUCUUUUUUAAAAACACAGAUUUGUCCAAAGCAAUAAUUAGCACACAGUUCUUUAGUACUAAACGCAUGAAAAUUCAAGCAUAUUUUUAUCAAAUACACACAUCUGGCAACGAUGUAUCUUAUUUAUGGUCUUUUUUGAUAAAAGCAUAAUUGAUUCAAAUGGGUGAUUCAAAAAUGUAAUUUACAGUCUAGCAUCUUGAUUUUAAAGUUUUAUUUUAAUAACAGCCACCAAGACAGUAAUCAAAUUAUUGGUGAGGCAAAGCUAACAAUUCCACAGAAUUUUUAUGUCUUCAUGCAUUAGAGUGAAGUUCUUGCUUAUCCCUGUCCUUUACCUGUGUAAAGGGGGAUAUUUACUCCAACCGUGCAUUUUCCUUUCAUUGCAUGAUUCACUGAAUCACAAAAGAAAUACAAAGUUGAUCAACAAGCAAGCAUAAUUAUAAACUAUUAAGUUACUUUC
ensembl:lncRNA